rnacentral:piRNA from 1 species
UGCUAUCUGGAUGCAGGUCUUGCCC